UACAGAGGGGGCAAGCGUUAUUCGGAAUUAUUGGGCGUAAAGGGCGCGUAGGCGGCCUGACAAGUGGAAGGUGAAAUCCCUCGGCUCAACUGAGGAACUGCCCUCCAAACUGUUUGGCUUGAGACCGGGAGAGGUGAGUGGAAUUCCCAGUGUAGCGGUGAAAUGCGUAGAUAUUGGGAGGAACACCAGUGGCGAAGGCGGCUCACUGGACCGGUACUGACGCUGAGGUGCGAAAGCGUGGGGAGCAAACAGG
rnacentral:rRNA from 1 species